rnacentral:rRNA from 1 species
UAGGUGGCAAGCGUUGUCCGGAUUUACUGGGUGUAAAGGGCGUGUAGGCGGAGCUACAAGUCAGAUGUGAAAUCUAGGGGCUCAACCCCUAAACUGCAUUUGAAACUGUGGCCCUUGAGUAUCGGAGAGGCAAGCGGAAUUCCUAGUGUAGCGGUGAAAUGCGUAGAUAUUAGGAGGAACACCAGUGGCGAAGGCGGCUUGCUGGACGACAACUGACGCUGAGGCGCGAAAGCGUGGGGAGCAA